CACGAACGCUGGCGGCGUGCUUAACACAUGCAAGUCGAACGGUGAUGACGGAGCUUGCUUUGUCUGAUCAGUGGCGAACGGGUGAGUAACACGUGAGUAACCUGCCCCAGACUCUGGGAUAACCUCGGGAAACCGGGGCUAAUACCGGAUACGCGACUCCACCGCAUGGUGAGGGUUGGGAAAGUUUUUCGGUCUGGGAUGGGCUCGCGGCCUAUCAGCUUGUUGGUGAGGUAGUGGCUCACCAAGGCGACGACGGGUAGCCGGCCUGGGAGGGCGACCGGCCACACUGGAACUGAGACACGGUCCAGACUCCUACGGGAGGCAGCAGUGGGGAAUAUUGCACAAUGGGCGCAAGCCUGAUGCAGCGACGCCGCGUGGGGGAUGAAGGCCUUCGGGUUGUAAACCCCUUUCAGCAGGGAAGAAGCGAAAGUGACGGUACCUGCAGAAGAAGCGCCGGCUAACUACGUGCCAGCAGCCGCGGUAAUAC
rnacentral:rRNA from 1 species